rnacentral:rRNA from 1 species
CCUACGGGAGGCAGCAGUGGGGAAUUUUCCGCAAUGGGCGAAAGCCUGACGGAGCAAUACCGCGUGAGGGAGGAAGGCUUUUGGGUUGUAAACCUCUUUUCUUAGGGAAGAAGCUCUGACGGUACCUAAGGAAUCAGCAUCGGCUAACUCCGUGCCAGCAGCCGCGGUAAUACGGAGGGUGCGAGCGUUAAUCGGAAUUACUGGGCGUAAAGCGCGCGUAGGUGGUUUGGUCAGUCGGAUGUGAAAGCCCCGGGCUUAACCUGGGAAUUGCAUUCGAUACUGCCAGGCUAGAGUCUGGGAGAGGGAUGCGGAAUUCCGGGUGUAGCGGUGAAAUGCGUAGAUAUCCGGAGGAACAUCAGUGGCGAAGGCGGCAUCCUGGCCUAAGACUGACGCUGAGGCGCGAAAGCGUGGGGAGCAAACAGGAUUAGAUACCCUGGUAGUCCACGCUGUAAACGAUGUCAACUAGCCGUUGGAGAGAUUUAACUCUUUAGUGGCGCAGCUAACGCCUUAAGUUGACCGCCUGGGGAGUACGGCCGCAAGGUUGAAACUCAAAUGAAUUGACGGA